rnacentral:rRNA from 1 species
AUUGAACGCUGGCGGAAUGCUUUACACAUGCAAGUCGAACGGCAGCACGGACUUCGGUCUGGUGGCGAGUGGCGAACGGGUGAGUAAUGUAUCGGAACGUGCCCAGUCGUGGGGGAUAACGUAGUGAAAAUUACGCUAAUACCGCAUACGAUCUAUGGAUGAAAGCGGGGGAUCGCAAGACCUCGCGCGAUUGGAGCGGCCGAUAUCAGAUUAGGUAGUUGGUGGGGUAUAGGCCCACCAAGCCAACGAUCUGUAGCUGGUCUGAGAGGACGACCAGCCACACUGGAACUGAGACACGGUCCAGACUCCUACGGGAGGCAGCAGUGGGGAAUUUUGGACAAUGGGCGGAAGCCUGAUCCAGCCAUUCCGCGUGCAGGAUGAAGGCCCUCGGGUUGUAAACUGCUUUUGUACAGAACGAAAAGGUUUCUACUAGUACUAGGAGCUCAUGACGGUACUGUAAGAAUAAGCACCGGCUAACUACGUGCCAGCCGCCGCAGUAA